GACAGAGGUGCCGAGCGUUAGGCGGAAUCACUGGGCGUAAAGCGCACGUAGGCGGAUUCUUAAGUCAGGGGUGAAAUCCUGGAGCUCAACUCCAGAACUGCCUUUGAUACUGGGAGUCUCGAGUCCGGGAGAGGUGAGUGGAACUGCGAGUGUAGAGGUGAAAUUCGUAGAUAUUCGCAAGAACACCAGUGGCGAAGGCGGACUCACUGGCCC
rnacentral:rRNA from 1 species